rnacentral:tRNA from 1 species
GCCUGGGUGGCUCAGUCGGUUGAGCAUCUGACUUCAGCUCAGAUCAUGAUCUCGCCUUGGUGAGUUCGAGCCCUGCAUUGGGCU